rnacentral:rRNA from 1 species
UACGUAGGGUGCAAGCGUUAAUCGGAAUUGCUGGGCGUAAAGCGUGCGCAGGCGGUUGUGCAAGACAGAUGUGAAAUCCCCGGGCUCAACCUGGGAACUGCAUUUGUGACUGCACGGCUAGAGUGUGUCAGAGGGGGGUAGAAUUCCACGUGUAGCAGUGAAAUGCGUAGAUAUGUGGAGGAAUACCGAUGGCGAAGGCAGCCCCCUGGGAUAACACUGACGCUCAUGCACGAAAGCGUGGGGAGCAAACAGG